rnacentral:rRNA from 1 species
CCUACGGGAGGCAGCAGUGAGGAAUAUUGGUCAAUGGGCGGAAGCCUGAACCAGCCAAGUCGCGUGAGGGAAGACGGCCUUAUGGGUUGUAAACUGCUUUUUUUAGGGGCUAAAAGGGCCAUGCGUGGUCGAUUGAAAGUACCUGAAGAAUAAGCCACGGCUAACUACGUGCCAGCAGCCGCGGUAAUACGUAGGUGGCAAGCGUUGUCCGGAUUUAUUGGGUUUAAAGGGUGCGUAGGCGGCCCUGUAAGUCAGUGCUGAAAUAUCCCGGCUUAACCGGGAGGGUGGCAUUGAUACUGCGGGGCUUGAGUACAGAUGAGGUAGGCGGAAUUGACGGUGUAGCGGUGAAAUGCAUAGAUAUCGUCAAGAACCCCUAUAGCGAAGGCAGCUUACUAAACUGUAACUGACGCUGAGGCACGAAAGUGUGGGGAUCAAACAGGAUUAGAUACCCUGGUAGUCCACACUGUAAACGUUGAUUACUCGCUGUUUGCGAUACACAGCAAGCGGCCCAGCGCAAGCGAUAAGUAAUCCACCUGGGGAGUACGCCGGCAACGGUGAAACUCAAAGGAAUAGACGG